GCCAACUAUUGCCAUAGUUGCAGACUUUGACACUUUUGGUGUUGCACCUGUAUGUAACCCUGAAAAAAUAUUCCAAGAAUCUUCUUUGAUAUUAUUUCUGAUAUUUUCAUAAUACAUAUGUUCUCAGGCGCUUUCCGUGGGAAGUCAUAGCAAUGGAAGCGGAGUUGUAGCUCUUCUGAAAAUUGCAAGGAUCUUUUCACACAUCUAUUCAAGCCCUAAGACCAGAAGCAAGUUUAAUCUUCUCUUUGGAUUAACAUCUGGCUGACCCUACAAUUAAAAUGGAACUAGCAAGGUUAUCAAUUUUUGUUACAGUGGCUUGAAGUUUUGACCAACAUGUGUGUGAUAUUAUUGACUAUGCAAUUUACUUGAAUAUCAUUGGUUCCUGGAGCAAUGAUCUCUGGAUGCAUGUAUCAAAGCCUCCAGAGAAGCCUUACAUCAAGCAAAUCUUUGAGGAUUUUUCGCAUGUCUCCAAGGAAAUGAGCAUUUCAGUCGCACAAGAAGAUUAAUGUGUCAAAUUCUAGAACUGCAUGCUGAACAAGCUUCAGAUUGAGGAGAGCUUGGUCCCCAAGAUGUGCCUAAAUUUGUACAGGGAAUAAGGAACUACAAUGGCCGGUCUGAAGCUUAUGGGCUAUGAUUUCGACUACGAGGAAUUCCACGCCAGCAUGCACGGUAAAUUGCCAUAUGAGAAGUUGAAGCCGGACCCUGUCCUGAGGAACCUACUGCUUUCGAUGCCUCAAAAUCCCUCUGAUGUUUCUUGCUACAUCACAUCAGCGAGGGGUCUGUGACCGUUAAAUGCUUCAGCAGUUACAGCUUGUCGUUGCACCGUAGAUAUUCACCAACUCUGAUGAGGGUCACGCGGCCGCCCUCCUCUUGGUUAACUCUGACAUUCAUUGUGCCAUUUAUAUCAAAAUAUUGCAUGAGUUUUUGUUGGUUGUUCAGGGACUAAGCUUAUCUCGGUUACUGUGAAUUUUAAUUGUACUCUGGGUCAAGUGAUUUUUUGAUAUGGUAACUAAUUUCUUGUUCUUUUUGCCAAA